AUCACUUCUUGGCCUUUUGGCUAAGAUCAAGGAUAGUACCUGUUCUUAUCAGUUUAGAAUGCCCAUUUUUAUCCAUGUUAAUUGUGAUGGAUGUUGUAGGCACUGACUGACCAUGGACCAUGAGACAGAGGUCAUUAAGGACGUUCUUUAGCUGCUAAUGUCUUCUGGUUGUUUAGAGAAUGUUGG